UGGGGAAUAUUGCACAAUGGGCGCAAGCCUGAUGCAGCCAUGCCGCGUGUAUGAAGAAGGCCUUCGGGUUGUAAAGUACUUUCAGUCGGGAGGAAGGUGUCAAGGUUAAUAACCUUGGCAAUUGACGUUACCGACAGAAGAAGCACCGGCUAACUCCGUGCCAGCAGCCGCGGUAAUACGGAGGGUGCAAGCGUUAAUCGGAAUUACUGGGCGUAAAGCGCACGCAGGCGGUUGAUUGAGACAGAUGUGAAAUCCCCGGGCUUAAACCGGGAAUUGCAUCUGAUACUGGUCAGCUAGAGUCGUGUAGAGGGGGGUAGAAUUCCAUGUGUAGCGGUGAAAUGCGUAGAGAUGUGGAGGAGUACCGGUGGCGAAGGCGGCCCCCUGGACAAAGACUGACGCUCAGGUGCGAGAGCGUGGGGAGCAAACAGA
rnacentral:rRNA from 1 species